UACGUAGGGGGCAAGCGUUGUCCGGAAUCAUUGGGCGUAAAGCGCGUGUAGGCGGCUCGGUAAGUCCGCUCUGAAAGUCCAGGGCUCAACCCUGGGGAUGCGGGUGGAUACGUGCCGGGCUCGAGUCCGGAAGAGGCGAGUGGAAUUCCCGGUGUAGCGGUGAAAAUGCGCAGAUAUCGGGAGGAACACCAAUGGCGAAGGCAGCUCGCUGGGACGUGACUGAGCGCUGAGACGGCGAAACGUGGGGAGGCAAACAGG
rnacentral:rRNA from 1 species